AAAAAAUUAUAUCUUUUUUAUUUGUAUCAACUCGUAAAUAUUUUGUAAAGUUUAUUUUAUUUCUAGUUUUUUGAGUAAAUUAUAAAAAAUAAACGUGAAAUCUUAACUAGUUCACUUACAUUACCAUUUUUUGCAUGAAAAAAUAUAUCUAAUUUCUUUUUUGAAAGUUAUAUAUUUAUAUAUAAUUUGAACAAAGAAAUUAAUUAAAAGAUUAAGUUUUUUUUUCAUUAAUGUAUUGKAUGUGUAGCAUUCUAUACUCUAUUACUAAACUCUAUUACUAAGAUUCUAAGUAAUAAUCUACCUUUAGGUUUUAAUUAUCAUUGAUUAUGAAAAUAAAAUCAAAAGGUCAUAUUUGCAUAAUCAAAUUAUUCAACAGAUAUCAAACAUCUUGUUUAUAAGUUUAUUCCACUCAAAUAAAACCAUUUAAAGUUACUUUUACAAAUGCAAAUAUGUUUAUCAGUCAAUUACGUUUAU
rnacentral:misc_RNA from 1 species